UUGCAAUGAUGACAACUUAGGACACCUUUGGAUAACUCAUGAAAAGACUUCACUGACUGAGCAAU
ensembl:snoRNA SNORD58 Small nucleolar RNA SNORD58